GAAUGUCAGGGAGAUCUGGUUGUGACAUCUGUCAAUCCUUGGAUCACCAGCGCUGAUUUGGCUGGUCUGGUUGGUGAGGCGGCAACCCCGGUCUCCUCACUGCUCCAUGUGUGUCCCUCUUGAAGAUGUGAGGAAUGCAUUUCUCAGAAAAAUUGACUGCCGGAGACAAAAAGGGCAUCAUUUGCCCACAAACAAAAACAGAGCACAGAAG
rnacentral:snRNA from 1 species